CUACACUUCCCGCGUUUUGGUGCGCGCGCGUUCUCGCGCACGCAGUCAAACGGGAAACAAGGAGCGGAAUCCGUCACGGAUCGGCCAACCUGUGCUGCCACCGCAACGGUAAGCGACAGCCACGCAAGUUGCAAGUCGUUCCAGGCGCGUUUUUGGGUGUCGGAGCGUGAAAAUUGAUCACGCGAAGGCACUGCAAGAAACGUGACCACGCCACUGCGCGCGAUGCGCGGGAAGGCGGAACGAUGUGUCGUCAGCCCGGAUACCGGCCAAACGUCCAGCGCAUCC
rnacentral:ncRNA from 2 species